rnacentral:misc_RNA from 1 species
UCCGAGUUGACCCCGGCAGUCUCCUACGAGUCCCCGGCAUUACCCGCUGGCAACAUAGGACGAGGGUUGCGCUCGUUGCGGGACUUAACCCAACAUCUCACGACACGAGCUGACGACAGCCAUGCAGCACCUGUACAGAUUCGCCUUGCGGCACGGGAACUUUCAUUCCCCUUAAUCUGCGUUUCAAGCCCAGGUAAGGUUCUGCGCGUUGCGUCGAAU